CAGCCUGAAAUGAUGACUACUUAAUUCAUGUCUCUUCUCUGACACAUCUCUCUGGAGAUAAUUUUUGCCUUGCUUAUCUGAUCAGGCUG